rnacentral:tRNA from 1 species
CGGGGUGUAGCACAGUUGGUAGUGCGCUGGGCUGGGGGUCCAGAGGUCCGCGGUUCGAGUCCGCGCACCCCGACCA